rnacentral:lncRNA from 1 species
ACUUUGAAGCAAAUUAAUCUUGUAGAGCAGUCAUUCUCAAUAGUUGCACUCUGACAUAAGAAUAUACAUGCGCUGUAAAAGAGCAAGGCUUUAUUUUCUUCUUUUUUAAUCGCACAGCCAUAUCUGCUAUUGUAAAUUUUGAAGUUUGUAUAUAAAGGACGCCAAAAUAUCUGUACCUUCUCUAAAAUGCGCCAUGACUAAAAAAAGUUGGGAACCACUGUUGUAGACAAAGGCAAGGUAUUUACUUCAACGUAGAAUUUUCUGUUUAUAUCGACAGACCUUACUCAGUAGGACGUUAGUCCAGAGCUGCUAUUCGCAGAGUCAAGACACGAAGCGAAGAGUGAGGUGUCAGCAAGUAUCGGUGCUGAAUUGUUAAUACGAGAAACUGAGAGUCCCAGGAAGAUACACUUUGCAGAUUCGUGUUUAAAUUAUAAUAGCGCACGAGAGUCACUGAAGAUUGCAAAAUUGAAAGAAUGUUAUCAAAUACAGAUUGUCGAUGCAUGGCGACAUUGGCGACUAUUUCAAUGAUGGCGACACUAUCGACCAACGAAAAAUAGGCGCACAACUCGCACAAGCACGGAGAUUUCUAUGCAUACGCAGAUGUGGAGAAAUCCUCAUGGACACUCCGCUGUUGCUAAUAAUCGGCAACAGCAGAGUAGUGCCGGACUCUUACCGACUAAAACUGAACGAUGACCAUCCUACGCGUGUGACAGGAGUGCUUCGGGGACCUCUUACGAAUUAUCUUUCUGUUGUACCUCCCUCUCGCGUCCUCUCGAUCAAGCCAAUCCUAAAAAUUCCCUUAACUCUUGAGUUUGGCGCUAGGGGGGCCAUUGCUCCUAGCGCAAUCCCCCUUCUAGUCGCGGUCCAUUGGGACGGCGACUAAGCGGCUCUAGGCUGCCUGACCACCAUCCCCCUCCAUCCCGUUAUCCUACAAGGGUGAGAGUUUCUCUUUCUCGCCCUUUCUGCCCCCUCCUUCUACGAUCGCUGAGGGGGUAGAUCUCUCGCCUAUGACGUGACGCAGGGUGCAGCAGGACAGCUUCCACGCACAUUAGCAGGACAAAACUGACGUGGAGAAAUCCUCAUGGACACUCCGCUGUUGCUAAUAAUCGGCAACAGCAGAGUAGUGCCGGACUUUUACCGACUAAAACUGAACGAUGACCAUCCUACGUGUGUGACAGGAGUGCUUCGGGGACAUCUUACGAAUUAUCUUUCCGUUGUACCUCUCUCUCGCAUCCUCUUGAUCGAGCCAAUCCUAAAAAUUACCUUAACUCUUGAGUUUGGCGUUAGGGGGGCCAUUGCUCCUAGCGCAAUCCCCCUUCUAGUCGCGGUCCAUUGGGACGGCGACUAAGCGGCUCUAGGCUGCCUGACCACCAUCCCCCUCCAUCCCGUUAUCCUACAAGGGUGAGAGUUUCUCUUUCUCGCCCUUUCUGCCCCCUCCUUCUACGAUCGCCGAGGGGGUAGAUCUCUCGCCUAUGACGUGACACAGGGUGCAGCAGGACAGCUUCCACGUCGGACAAAACUGGUGAGCGGGAGGCCGCGGCGUCAUAUCUAAACCUACGAUCCGUUUCAUAUAUUAUCUUUGUAUUCUAUCCAGUCUUUUUCCCAUGUUCCAGCCCUAUACCUUCUCAUUACUGACGUUUUUCAGUAGUAUGUACCCUAGGUAUCUUAUCUUGUCUACUUCUAAUUCUCGCUCUCCCCAUUUCCAUUUUCUUUGUCUCCUCUUGUUCUUUUUUUUUUGAUAACUACUAUCUUCAUCUACUUCAUCUUUAGUUACAAUUCGGUUGCCUUUAAAAAAUUUUUUGAAUCUCAUUGGCAUUUCUUUAUGACAGAUGCGAAUGAGUUCGUUCUUUAGUUUCGCGUACCGGCCGGUGGCUGGCGGGCCCGUCAUAACACUCUCUACCUGCUGGAGGAGUUGGUCGUCGAGGUUCUUUGCAAGAGUCGCGAACCUCACCAAUUCUAGUGGAGAAUAUAGUGGAUCGGUAGAGGAACAAUAAUUUAGAAUGUGAGAAAUUGUUGCUACAACCCGUCAAAUAUAUUUAGUAUAAAUAGAAUAAAUGAGAUUAAAUAUAAAUAUCGUCGAGAAACGCUCGUACAAAUGUAUUUGCAAAGCUAGCAUAUGAAUGCUCGCGAAAAACUCGGUAACUAAUAACUCGGAUAAUGACUCGGAUAAUAACUCGUAGAUAAGCAAAAGCAAAAUUUGGGAAAUAUUACACUAAAAUUGAACAUAUUCAGUAUUCUAUUAAUGAGGAUGUAAGUGUUGUUAUUUCCAUAUUCAGAGAUAGGAUCACAAUAGUUAUUAUAAUAUUGUGUUAUUACACAACAAGGCAAACCAAACAGUAAUGUUGGAGGGUUGGAGGGUGAUAUACUUUUUCCUCUUGCGUGCAUAGUUUACUUUUCAAUAUACUAGCACUUGACGGUUAUUACAACUCUAUUGUUUCAUCAGUGUACAAACCUUUAAAGCUCAUGUGAGGAAUGGGGUACUAACCGCUAUACUUCCCAGUAGCUGUGCUCUUUUCAGCCCAUUUAAUACUUAUCGAAAGUACGCUGCUGUAUUUACACGAUCAAAUGGAAAUGGAAUUGCUUUCAUAAAUGCUUCAUCAAUAUAUGAAUCUAGUUUUGGCUCUCGUCCACUUCGAAGUAGUUAUGACGUUGUUUCCAAUGGUAAUGUGACGUCUUAAAUGACUUUUGGAAAUCAUUUCUUGUAAUCUUAUCAAGUACCCGUUGCGACACCUUUUGUACCUUUUCCACAUUAUUGAAACGUCUCCAUCUGAUUUUUGAUUUCAUUUUAGUGCACAAAGGGAAAUCACAAGGAGCUUCUUCUUCGAAUGCUUUUAGUGCAUUGCAAUAUUCUUCGAUGGUAGACCACUCAUGACUGUUUAUUGUGUCAGGCAUUCGCUGUUCCAGUGAAACUGUAUUCAAGGCUUGUCACACGUCAGUAAGCGAUACAUCAUAUGUCGCUAAGAAUUCCAUCAAGGAUCAACAUCACGAAUUAAUUUUAGAGGCGUGCGAUGAGGAUAAUAUAGUAUUUGGUGCGCCUUUAAUUUUUUUCGGUGGAUAUAGACCGAUGGAAAAAUGGAACAAUCGCUCUGCGUUUCUUUAAAAUUCCCAUUAACCUUGCCGAAUGAUUUGCCGCACAUUUUAUUACCAAUUGAAAAUAACUUGUUACAUUAGAAUGUGAAAUGUCCAUAUUAUUUAUUUCGAUAUGUAAUUAUUUCUUAUCGUUCGUUCACCUGCAAAUGUGUGCGAAAGAAGCAAUAGGUUUGCGUUAUAAAAUAACGGCGUUCUUUUCAUUCCUCGAAUCAGUUUACCGUAUAGCGAUUAUCCUAGAUAGAACAAGAUGCAGUGUGAGAAUGUUUGAUCUGCAUUCGAAUUAUUUGGGAAUAGCUAUAUGAGUGGCUUGUGAUUAAGAAAGUGAUCUGUUUGAAAGUUGGACUGUGAAUGAUGACUCGUCCAAGAAAUAAUGUCGUAAAACUUCUUGGACUCCCUCGUUUGGGGAAUGCCAGUGAUCACGUCAAAGUUAGCACUUUCAAGCAUGGUGCAUAGACCUUACAGCGACGUGCAUGGACAUUGUUCGGGUCUUACCCAGUGACCGUAGCAGGCAGUACAGGCUUAUAAAGUGCUCUGAAUAUGUAUAUAUGAAUAAUUUUUGCGAAGUUUAAUGGGUCCAUGAUGUAUAAUGGAGUGAUUCUGUAUUUGACUUGAUAUUGGUCGAGCCUUCUUAUCCUAAUGUAUAAAUAAUUACUUCUGAUAUAGUAAUUAAUUCUAAUCCUCUUAUGUAAAUAUCUGAGCACCUAGGAAUUAAUUCCCAUUGCAUAAACAUCUACUUGUUUAAAGAGCUUUCAGAAUCUCUUAAAUUUUGCAGCCCUUUCUAAUAUUUCUCGCGCCGUAUAUCUCAAAGUAUCGACCUAAUUUCCAAAUUAAAGGCGUAAUUAUUAAUAAUUUAAAAUGUUUUAUAUUUUUCAUGCUUAAGAUGUCGUCUUACAUCGUUGAUUGAUUUUAUCUCAAUAUGUUGUACUUUUCCGUUUGUAUAAUAUUUAGAACCAGAAAUUCGAACUAACCUGAUAAUCCUAAAUCGCAUACACAACAAAUACCAUCAGCUUUGAUUAAUUAAUUAAUGUCUCUCUGUGCAAUGCACGGCUUAAAUUUAUCUGUAAAUUUCAUUAAUUUUUUAUGAAUAUUUCAUCAAUUUGAGGUGGACGACAUGUACGGUGUGGCGAACUUCUUCAGGUUCCGGUAAAACUGGGACGGCGCCCUAUCUCCCACGUGUUCGCCAUCUAGUAGCUUUAGCACUCUGAUGGAGUCCCAGUCAGCCAGUCUUUUAAUGAGUUUCUUUUUCAGAUAUUCGUACCUGCCCCGUCUUCGGCGGAUCGAACAGUACGUUCCGGACUGGGUGUAUAUACCGUUCGGUAAGAUUCGCGACGGUGGUGUAGAAUUUUUCCUUGUCGCUUGUAAUGCGGGCAUUUAGAUCUGAUUAUUAUUUGAUAAUUUGACAGAUGUAAUUCCAGCAUCAAGAACCACAGCAUUACAUCGUGCGGCCAAAACGGCGGUAUACGGAGCGAUGUACUCACCGCGUCUACGUUGUCGCUCGUGUUCGUCACGUGCUCAGUUCUGUUGGUGCUAGUCAUUUCGAAGAUUGUUGAUUCGUGAAAACACAUUUUACAAAAUGUGGUCCAAUCAAUUACAUGCGUUUCUAAAAAAUCCGUUAAAAUACCGCAUGCUGCAGAACUAAAUACUGAAAGAUAUUCACUAUUAUCUCCCAUACUGUUUUUUCAUCAACACCUAAAUGAAGAUUACGUAUAUUUUUCAAUGUUAUGCUUAAAUAAGUAAUACAAUAUCACUCAGGAAUAAAACAGAAUAUCAACCAUAAUAACAUAGAAGAAAUGGGUAUUCCAUAAAGAGAAGACAGAAAGUAUCUCGUUCCUAUUGGAUAAUUACGAUAAUGGAAGGAAAUAUUUUUACAGCAACAUCUUGAUCUCCCAUGCCGCUUUGCCAUACCGGUCCAUAGCGCCCUUGUUCUGAAAUUAUACAAUGUAUUAUGGCCAAAAAUAUUUAGUUUUGUUGUAAAUCCAAUGGUUUAAUUAACAAAGAACAUACCUACAAUUAUCGUAAGUUUCAAAUAAUCUUUUAUAUUAGUACCAGCUCUUAGCCCCGUGCUAUCCAUAAACUGAACUAUAUAGGAAAGUGGUUUUCCUAAUGUUGCUAACAUGUUAGUAUGAUAUACAGGAUAUACCAUUAUAGUUACAAUAUAUAUUACUAAUAAUGUGCAUAGUAGAACACUUGUUAUGAUAACAAUCCAUUUCUCAGAAUUUCCAAAUACUCCAAAAAUUCCAAAUGUUCAGUUGCUACAAGAUUUCAUAAAAGACAUUAUAAUGAAAUUAUAAAUUAAUACAGAUCAUUCUCUGUAUCAUUGAAAUUUACUUGGUUGAUUAUCUUUUGCAGAAAUACAAUUAUGCGCAUUAUUCUCAGAGUAUAAGAUAUUAAUAAUUUUGAUAUUAAGAUUACAUCCAUGACAGCAACAAAAUUUUUUAUUGUUCAGUGCCUUAGUAGAAAUUGUUGGUUUGAUGCCCCGUUCCAAUUCUUUCAGUUUAUUUGGGGUUCGGUUCGGCGGUCUAUGUAUAAACUUGUAGCAUUUAAAACUAUUGUAGUGUCUCGCGUUUAAUUUGAUCCCACAAAGAAAGACCACAUCUGGGUUAUAUUAUUCUUCCUUACUUAUCAUAUUUGCCUCGUUAUCUUCAUAUUCUCCUUGCCUUUCAUUACCUCCACUCCUCUCUUUCGUGUCUUUAUAGAUGCUUUUUCCUCCACGGUACCAUCAGGGGUCGAGAGUUGUUUGGCUUCCGCAGAUCAUUGGACCGUUACUUAACCAACGGUCACUCUACUACUUCUUUAUGCAUGCUAUUUAGCAUAAUUUAUAGCGUAUUUUUCAUGUAUUGUGAAUAUUUGAAAGAAGACGCUAUGUAAAUGACACGCGCCAUUACAUAUAGGGAUACAUUCCAUUGCAUAGCAAGACUUGAUACCACAGCACCCCUUGGAAUGCAUAUAGUCAUCCCUGGCAUAAUAUAUUUUUUAAGCGCCUUUCUAUUAACUUUUCCUUCUAAUCUCUUCUUCAUUUCGAUCACUUAAAUCUCUUUGACCUUUCAUAAAUACGCAGUUUAUCUGUCAAAAUCCACUGUCAUUUCACUUCACAACCUCUCUCUCGCGCGACUCGAACUAUUACUCCUUAGUUAAGUAAUUUCUGGGAGUGUUAUCAGUUGUUUCAGUUGUGUGUGCGUGUAUGUGUAUCUGCAGUUGAUACUACUAUCCUGUUUUUACCGUUUAUUACCGAACAGAACGAGAUGGCCUGGUCGUAUAAAGUGUGGACACUCGCCUGUGUUGUGUGACAUGUUAUAUUUAAUGUAAUUUACAUUGCAGUUCAAUGUAACGUGAUUUAUUCUCAGACAUCGGAUGCACAGGCGGUUCUUCUCUGUUUUAUAUUUAAAAAAAAAUUGAUAGAUUCUAAUUUUCUUAAGACUAUCUUCUAAUUGAAGGUUUUUUACAUUUACAAAAUCUAUACCUUCUAUUUGUUUGGAGAGCAAUGCUCCAAGAAGUAUCAUUGUGCAGCUUGGCCCAGGAAGUGUCGUUAAAAGGAACUCCGGUGGUGCAUGGUGCAGAUCUGUCAAACACGACGCAGAGUUAUGUAGCUAGUCACUUGUUCCUGAGUGAUAAGCCGUGAUGUGGCAGGUAGUAACUGUUGUUUAAGUGGUCUGUUGUGGUCUUAGUCAUGUAUUUCGUUGGCGGACCCCCGACGAUUUCCCCGUCAUCGACCUGGAGCGAGAUCCAUCUGUAGAUCCAUCGUGGAUGUGUGAAAGAUGUUUACGGUUAAUUGGGAAGCAUGGCUUCCCCCUCUGAAACAUCCCAAUCGCGUUUUCUUGGUGAUGAUCCUUUGUGGUUGAACAGGCUUGGCUCAUGGACUCUUCGUCGUCUCGUUAAAACAGAGUCUCAUGAGGCCAAUUAUCCGCGGAAGGCAAAAUCAGAGAUAUCUUAUCCCCUGUUUGCUCAGAUUCCUUCCAUUCAAUUGGAUGCAGUGGAUUAGAAUUUACAGCUACUGACGUGCGUAGCUAUCCCAGAUUUCUUAGUAACA